UUAAAUUCUGUGAUUGGAAAGAGUAGGCUUGAAAUGUUGUCCAAGCGAGCCGGUGUUGGUGAGAGACCGGUGUCAAUGUUCUUGUUGAAUGGUUCCAGGAGAAGCGGUGUGAAAUCUUAUGAGAGUAUCGCCAGCCGUGUGCCUCACGUUAUAGGGGCAGGGUAUCGAGACAGGCCGACUGUUGAGCUUAGGCUUUUUUAUAGACAGUAUAUGUACAAGGUUUGUUUUCCGUAUCUGUAAAGAGAGAUGGGUAAUACCUUCUAAAAUAGGUGGCAGCGCGGAAUGAUGACAUUUCGUCCUAUAU
rnacentral:ncRNA from 1 species